CCCUGGUGGCUCAUACGGUAAAGUGUCUGCCUACAAUGCAGGAGACCCAGGUUUGAUUUCUGGAUCAGGAA
rnacentral:tRNA from 1 species